GAUGAACGCUGGCGGCGUGCUUAACACAUGCAAGUCGAACGAAGCACUUUAUUUGAUUUCCUUCGGGACUGAUUAUUUUGUGACUGAGUGGCGGACGGGUGAGUAACGCGUGGGUAACCUGCCUUGUACAGGGGGAUAACAGUUGGAAACGGCUGCUAAUACCGCAUAAGCGCACAGCAUCGCAUGAUGCAGUGUGAAAAACUCCGGUGGUAUAAGAUGGACCCGCGUUGGAUUAGCUAGUUGGUGAGGUAACGGCCCACCAAGGCGACGAUCCAUAGCCGAACUGAGAGGGUGACCGGACACAUUGAGACUGAGACACGGACAAAACUCCUACGGGAGGCAGCAGUGGGGAAUAGUGCAAAAUGGGCGAAAGCCUGAUGCAGCGACGACGCGUGAGCGAAGAAGUAUUUCGGUAUGAAAAGCUCUAUCAGCAGGGAAGAUAAUGACGGUACCUGACUAAGAAGCACCGGCUAAAUAAGUG
rnacentral:rRNA from 1 species